UUAAAUCCUUUGAAGAGGGAGAGUAAUUAAAUUUAGGUUCAAUAUAGAGAGUUGAGGAUGGUGGAAUCUCAACAAGAAAAAGUUUAAUGAAUGGGCCUCUGAGGAGUAAAUUGAAAUCAUAUUUUGAGAGUAGACUUUACCGUGAUCGUACGUUACAGCGAAGAAGUAUGUUAGUACUUUAUUGAGAGGUAUAUAUUUAUUAUAUACAAAUUAGGUGGCAACGCGGAAUAUAUGCUCCGUCCUAUUG
rnacentral:ncRNA from 1 species